rnacentral:rRNA from 1 species
GAACGGCAGCACGGGUGCUUGCACCUGGUGGCGAGUGGGAACGGGUGAGUAAUACAUCGGAACAUGUCCUGUAGUGGGGGAUAGCCCGGGAAAAGUUUAUUAUACCAUACWUUCUUUGGRUUAAGAGGGGGACUUCUCGCCCCCGCUAUAAGUGUUCCAAAUGGUUAUUUAGUUUGUGGGGUAAAGGCCUACCAAGGCGACGAUCAGUAGCUGGUCUGAGAGGACGACCAGCCACACUGGGACUGAGACACGGCCCAGACUCCUACGGGAGGCAGCAGUGGGGAAUUUUGGACAAUGGGCGAAAGCCUGAUCCAGCAAUGCCGCGUGUGUGAAGAAGG